rnacentral:misc_RNA from 1 species
AAACUUGUUGUAGUUUUUAGAUUGGGGUGCCUCCUUCCACCUUAGAGCCAAAAAUAUCUUUAGAAUUUCGGGGAAGUCGUCUUUCUUCAUUUUUUAGGAAAUGCUUAUAGAUUUCGGCUCAGCAGUAGAGCACCACUUGAUAUUUAUUUCUAGUCAGCUGUGGACUUUGUUAGCCAAAACGAGAUCCAUUCGACAGGAAAAUAGACUAGUCUAUG